rnacentral:tRNA from 1 species
CGGGGCGUAGCGCAAACUUUGUUAGCGCACUUGGUUUGGGACCAAGGGGUCGAAGGUUCGAAUCCUUUCGCCCCGACCA